UGGAGGGCAAGUCUGGUGCCAGCAGCCGCGGUAAUUCCAGCUCCAAUAGCGUAUAUUAAAGUUGUUGCAGUUAAAAAGCUCGUAGUUGAAUUUCGGGGUUCUACCGUUGGUCGGGCUUUGUCUGUACUGGUGUGUAGAAUUUCUACCUUCUGGGGAACCAUCAUGCUAUUAAUUUAGCGUGGUGGGAAACCAGGACCUUUACCUUGAAAAAAUUAGUGUGUUCAAAGCAGGCUUAUGUCUGAAUACAUUAGCGUGGAAUAAUAGAAUAGGACGGUGGUCCUGUUUUGUUGGUUUCUGAAUCACCGUAAUGAUUAAUAGGGAUAGUUGGGGGCAUUAGUAUUCAAUUGUCAGAGGUGAAAUUCUUGGAUUUAUUGAAGACUAACUUCUGCGAAAGCAUUUGCCAAGGAUGUUUUCAUUAAUCAAGAACGAAAGUUAGGGGAUCGAAGACGAUCAGAUACCGUCGUAGUCUUAACCAUAAACUAUGCCGACUAGGGAUCGGACGAUGUUAAUUUUUCUUGACUCGUUCGGCGCCUUACGGGAA
rnacentral:rRNA from 1 species